rnacentral:rRNA from 1 species
CCUACGGGAGGCAGCAGUGGGGGAUAUUGCACAAUGGAGGAAACUCUGAUGCAGCGACGCCGCGUGAGGGAAGAAGGCCUUCGGGUUGUAAACCUCUGUCUUCGGGGACGAACAAAUGACGGUACCCGAGGAGGAAGCCACGGCUAACUACGUGCCAGCAGCCGCGGUAAUA